GGUUCGAUUAUGGUCGAUUGGAACGCUGGCGGGAUGCUUUACACAUGCAAGCCGAACGGCAGCACGGACUUCGGUCUGGUGGUGAGUGGCGAACGGGUGAGUAAUGUAUCGGAAUGUGUCGCAGUGGGGGAUAACUACGCGAAAGCAAGAGCUGAGCUGACGCCACACCUGGGAAAGCGGGGACCUUCGGGCCCGCACUAGAGCGGCCGAUAUCGGAUUAGCUAGUUGGCGGGGUAACGGCUCACUGCGACGAUCUGCAGCUGGUUUGAGAGGACGACCAGCCACACUGGGACUGGAGACACGGCCCAGACUCACGGAGGCAGUGGGGAAUUUUGGACAAUGGGGGAAACCCUGAUCCAGCCAUCCCGCGUGUGCGAUGAAGGCCUCGGGUUGUAAAGCACUUGGCAGAAAAGAAACGGCACGGGAUAAUACCCCGUGCAACUGACGGUACCUGCAGAAUAAGCACUGGCUAACUACGUGCCAGCAGCCGCGGUAAUACGUAGGGUGCAAGCGUUAAUCGGAAUUACUGGGCGUAAAGGCAGCGCAGGCGGUUCGGAAAGAAAGAUGUGAAAUCCCAGAGCUCUAACUUAGAACUGCAUUCGUGACCGAGCUGGAGCAGGUUGAGAGGGAGUGUGGAAUUCGCGUAGCAGUGAAAUGCGUAGAUAUGCGGAGGAACACCCUGAUGGCGAAGGCAGCUUCCUGGGGGAUAACACUGACGCUCAUGCACGAAAGCGUGAGCAACAGGAUUAGAUACCCUGGUAGUCCACGCCCUAAACGAUGUCAACUAGCUGUUGGGGCCUGGCCGGUAGCAGCUAACGCGUGAAGUUGACCGCCUGGGGAGUACGGUCGCAAGAUUAAACUCAAAGGAAUUGACGGGGACUCCGCACAAGCAGGAUGAUGCGGAUUAAUUGAUGCAACGCGAAACCUUACCUACCCUUGAUAAUGUCUGAAUCCUGAAGAGAUUUGGGAGUGCUCGCAAGAGAAUCCAAACACAGGUGCUGCAUGGCUGUCGUCAGCUCGUGUCGCAGAUGUUGUUGAGUCCCGCAACGACGCAAGUAACCCUUGUCAUUAGUUGCUACGAAAGGGCACUCUAUCGAGACUGCCGGUGACAAACCGGAGUGAAGGUGGAUGACGUCAAGUCCUCAUGGCCCUUAUGGGUAGGGCUUCACACGUCAUACAAUGGUCGGGACAGAGGGUCGCCAACCCGCGAGGGGCUCAAUCCCAGAAACCCGAUCGUAGUCCGGAUCGCAGUCUGCAACUGACUGCGUGAAGUCGGAAUCUAUAAUCGCGGAUCAGCAUGUCGCGGUGAAUACGUUCCCGGUCUUGUACACACCGCCCACGCACCAUGGGAGGUUUACCAGAAGUAGUUAGCCUAACCGUAAGGGUGGCUACUACCACGGUAGGGGAUUCUACAUCAGGGGUGAAGUCGUGAACAAGGUA
rnacentral:rRNA from 1 species